CCGGCCGCGGCAGUCCGGGGCUCAUAACCUGUUGACGCGCGCAGCCCGCGGGCAGUCCCUGCGGGCCGCGCGGCGCUAACGGGGUGUGGGACCCGGACUGACGCGGCCGG
rfam:Chlamydomonas reinhardtii strain CC-503 cw92 mt+ CHLREscaffold_10 genomic scaffold, whole genome shotgun sequence.